rnacentral:rRNA from 1 species
GAUGAACGCUGGCGGCGUGCCUAAUACAUGCAAGUCGAGCGAACAGACGAGGAGCUUGCUCCUCUGACGUUAGCGGCGGACGGGUGAGUAACACGUGGAUAACCUACCUAUAAGACUGGGAUAACUUCGGGAAACCGGAGCUAAUACCGGAUAAUAUAUUGAACCGCAUGGUUCAAUAGUGAAAGACGGUUUUGCUGUCACUUAUAGAUGGAUCCGCGCCGCAUUAGCUAGUUGGUAAGGUAACGGCUUACCAAGGCAACGAUGCGUAGCCGACCUGAGAGGGUGCUCGGCCCCACUGGCACGGAGACACGCUCCAGACUCCUACGGGAGGCAGCAGUAGGGAAUCUUCCGCAAUGGGCGAAAGCUUGACGGAGCAACGCCGAGUGAGUGAUGAAGGUCUUCGGAUCGUAACACUCUGUUAUUAGGGAAGAACAAAUGUGUAAGUACCUAUGCACGUCUUGACGGUACCUAAUCAGAAAGCCACGGCUACCUACGUG